UACAGAGGAUGCAAGCGUUAUCCGGAAUGAUUGGGCGUAAAGCGUCUGUAGGUGGCUUUUUAAGUCCGCCGUCAAAUCCCAGGGCUCAACUCUGGACAGGCGGUGGAAACUACCAAGCUGGAGUACGGUAGGGGUAGAGGGAAUUCCCGGUGUAGCGGUGAAAUGCGUAGAGAUCGGGAAGAACAUCGGUGGCGAAAGCGCUCUACUGGACCGCAACUGACACUCAGGGACGAAAGCUAGGGGAGCGAAUGGG
rnacentral:rRNA from 1 species